AGUGAACGCUGGCGGUAGGCCUAAAACAUGCAAGUGGAAGGCAGCCACGUAAGAACUUGGUCUUAAGGGUUGCCGGGGGCCGGCCGGGGGGGGAAAACACCGAAACUAAUUUUUUGGGGGGGGUAAAGGAGGGAAACUUACGCUUAUACCGGCUAAGGACCACGGGGGAAAACAAGGGGACUUUCGGACUUUGCCGGUUGGAUGGGGCGAUGUCGGAUUAGCUAGUUGGCGGGGUAAAGGCCCACCAAGGCGACGAUCCGUAGCUGGUCUGAGAGGAUGAUCAGCCACACUGGAACUGAGACACGGUCCAGACUCCUACGGGAGGCAGCAGUGGGGAAUAUUGGACAAUGGGCGCAAGCCUGAUCCAGCCAUACCGCGUGGGUGAAGAAGGCCUUCGGGUUGUAAAGCCCUUUUGUUGGGAAAGAAAAGCAGCAGGUUAAUACCCCGCUGUUCUGACGGUACCCAAAGAAUAAGCACCGGCUAACUUCGUG
rnacentral:rRNA from 1 species